rnacentral:misc_RNA from 1 species
AAGGAUAAUAUACGGAAUAUCGCUUUUAAGCGAUAAGGRAUAACGGAGACAUAUUGUAUUCAGUUUUGAAUGCUCAUUUUGAGGAUUCAUUACAAUGGGCCUAUAGCUCAGCUGGUUAGAGCGCACGCCUGAUAAGCGUGAGGUCGGUGGUUCGAGUCCACUUAGGCCCACCAUUUAAAUUGUACAUUGAAAACUAGAUAAGUAAGUAUAGAUUUUACCAAGCAAAACCGAGUGACAAGCGAAAAGCUUGAAACAAAAAUUAUCGCUAGUCGUCGACAGACGACUCACAAUAAUUAAUAACUGGUGGAUGUUGGUUAUUGUUCAAUUCGAAAGCCGAAUGUAAACRAUUGCCAAAACAUCAAAA